rnacentral:rRNA from 1 species
UACGUAGGGUGCGAGCGUUAAUCGGAAUUACUGGGCGUAAAGCGUGCGCAGGCGGCUUUGCAAGACAGAUGUGAAAUCCCCGGGCUCAACCUGGGAACUGCAUUUGUGACUGCAAGGCUAGAGUACGGCAGAGGGGGAUGGAAUUCCGCGUGUAGCAGUGAAAUGCGUAGAUAUGCGGAGGAACCCCAAUGGCGAAGGCAAUCCCCUGGGCCUGUACUGACGCUCAUGCACGAAAGCGUGGGGAGCAAACAGG